AAAAUUUGUUUUUUAAAAGAGAAAGACAAAAGAAAAAUCAGCGUUGAUAAGUUUUAAAAUAAAUGAAUUAGGGCUUCCCUGGUGGCACAGUGGUUAAGAAUCCACCUGCCAAUGCAUGGGACACAGGUUCGAUCCCUGGUCCGGGAAGAUCCCCCGUGCCGCAGAGCAACUAAGCCCGUGUGCCACAACUACAGAGCCUGUGCUCUAGAGCCCGCGAGCCACAACUACUGAGCCCACGUGCCACAACUACUGAAGCCCGCGCGCCUAGAGCCCGUGCUCCGCAACAAGAGAAGCCACCGCAAUGAGAAGCCCGCGCACUGCAAGGAAGAGUAGCCCCUGCUCAUCACAACUAGAGAAAGCUCCCGUGCAGCAACAAAGACCAAACGCAGCCAAAAAAAAAAAAAGAAAAGAAAAGAAAA